rnacentral:rRNA from 1 species
UGUAAAGUUCAAGCUCCAUUUUGAGGGCGAAACCGCGAAUGGCUCAUUAAAUCAGUCAUAAUCUACUUGAUUGUUUAAAGUUUAUAUGGAUAACUGUGGUAAUUCUAGAGCUAAUACAUGCACAAAGAGGGCGACUCUUCGUAAAAAGAGAGAAGCUCUGCGUUUAUUAGACUAAGACCAAUGAUUGUGGUCAAACACAAUCUAUAUUUAAGGUGACUCUGAGUAAAUAAUGGGUGAAAGCCCAUGUUGCUGACCUGACACUUAAAAAGGCCCUUAAAAGCCUUGUCAGGCAAAUCAAUCGAGUGUCUGCUCUAUCAACUGUGGAUGGUAGGGUAAUUGCCUACCAUGGUGGUGACGGGUAACGGGGAGUUAGGGCUCGACUCCGGAGAACAAGCCUGAGAAACGGCUAGUAGGACUAAGGUCUGCAGCAGGCGCGAAACUUACACAAUGCUAGAUUAAAAUUAGCGAUGUAGUGAAGAAAAAUAACGAUGUACUUCCGUUUAAACAUGGUAGUACAAUUGGAAUGAGUCGAGUCUAAACCACUUAGGCGAGUAUCAAAUGGAGGGCAAGUCUGGUGCCAGCAGCCGCGGUAAUUCCAGCUCCAUUAGCAUACAUUAAAGUUGUUGCGGUUAAAAAGCUCGUAGUUGAAUUUUAGGCGGGCUCUAUUGGGAUGCAAUCGUUAAGGUUUUAUGCGUGUUGGCGCAGCCCAUACCAUACAAACUGGUUGUAUUUUCCCUAUAGGAACUCGCUGUUUCGUCACUUAAUCGAGUGCGAAGCGGGCUGGUACUAGCCGUACUUAUGUGCGCGCUUGUUUCAGCAUGUUUACCUUGAGAAAAUUAGAGUGCUCACAGCAGGCAGUUGGGGUGUAAAAGCUCCUUUAUGCUUGAAUAAUGUUGCAUGGAAUAAUAGAAUACGGCCUCGGUUCUAUUCUGUUGGUCUUAUAGAACAACAAACAAGUUGGUUAAAGCGACCAAAAGUCUGUUUGCGAGUGUGGUUUUGACUAGCUGUUCUAGUCGCUUUAGGUGAGUUCUGUUGCCUGGGACCUAAAAAUCUCAGUUGCCUGGCUCCCUACAUGCGCCUGUUCAUCACUAGUUCAACUCCAUUCAAAGCACUCCUUACAUGGCUAGCUUUCUAAUCAACUGAGGCAAUGGUUAAAAGAAAUAGUCGCGGCGGCAUCAGUACUGCAUCGUGAGAGGUGAAAUUCUUAGACCGAUGCAAGACUAACUGAAGCGAAAGCGUUUGCCGAGGAUAUUUUCAUUAAUCAAGAACGAAAGUUAGAGGUUCGAAGGCGAUCAGAUACCGCCCUAGUUCUAACCAUAAACGUUGCCAACUAGCAAUUGGGUUGCGAUUCCUUUAAUCGAGCCUUAAAAAAGCUCGAUCAUUAUGAUCCACCCAGCGGCUCUCGUAGGGAAACCAAAGUGUUUGGGUUCCGGGGGAAGUAUGAUUGCAAAGUUGAAACUUAAAGGAAUUGACGGAAGGGCACCACCAGGAGUGGAGCCUGCGGCUUAAUUUGACUCAACACGGGGAAACUUACUAGAUUAGAACUCUGGAAUGAUUGACAGAUUGAUAGCUCUUUCUUGAUUCAGAGGAUGGUGGUGCAUGGCCGUUCUUGAUUCGUAUUCCGAAACGUCUGCUUAAUUGCGAUAACGAGUGAGACCUCACCCAACUAACUAGUCGUUUGGUGCGCUGUGGAACGCAAAAGUCUCGGCAGGAUUUGGCUUGUAGUGGGGCAGCAAUGUUUCGCUACUUGACUGCCUGUUUGAGAUGUUCUCUGCUCGCCAGCGGACUUCUUAGAGGGAUAAACGGUGUUUUAGCCGUAAGAAACGAGGCAAUAACAGGUCUGUGAUGCCCUUAGAUAUUCUAGGCCGCACGCGUGCUACAAUGGCGUGUGCAGAAAGCUUGUUCGAGGUUUGUCUAAGGAGAACUGGUCGUUUGGCUUGCGGCUGGGGGCAACUCUGGUUUGUGGGUCGGCGGAGAAGUGACCUUAGUUAGCAGGCCGAGAGAAACCGUAGUCGAAAGAUUACGGCAAUCAUAAAUACACGCCGUGAUUUGGGAUUGGGGAUUGCAAUUGUUGCCCAUGAACGAGGAAUUCCCAGUAAGCGCAAUUCAUCAUAUUGCGUUGAUUACGUCCCUGCCCUUUGUACACACCGCCCGUCGCUACUACCGAUUGGAAGUUUUAGUGAGGCAUUUGGACCUGCCUACCAAUGGAAGGGCAACCGACCUGGUCUGGCGGGGAAGUCUGUCGAACUCAAAUUUCUAGAGGAAGUAAAAGUCGUAACAAGGUUUCCGU